rnacentral:lncRNA from 1 species
AUGUGGCUGCUGCUGACUGAUGCUUUUAGGUUUUCCCUCAGAUUCUCUUCAAAUUCACCACAGGGCAAUGGGACAGGGACAUUUGUAAACAUUUGGGAUAAUUCCCUCACUUGUGCAUUUUACUAUAUGGGUACUAUUAUUUGGUGGUUUUACUUUGGAAACCGAUACUGUGCUGAUUGGUUUUGGCUUUAGUCCUAAUGUUCUUGAUGGCACAUGCCAUGUUUGAGGCAAAGAGGUUUUACUCUUUCUUGGUGGUACAGAUUUAUGUUCCAUUUUUAGGUAGUGAGCCAGUGUGUAAAGUAGUCCCAGUAAAUGGUUACAGUGCCCCAAUCCUGCUUUACAAGUGCAUUGGGUGUCUCGGAUAAAUGGGUUUUCUGAAGACAGCUCCACCUGCAACAAAGCAACAAAACGUUAUUAACAAAGCCAUUAUUAACUAACCCUAACCCACAUUUCAAGACAAGGUGUACAAAAUAACAGGUUGUUUUUUUUUUAUCCUUUUGUCUAAGUUACACACUUACGUUAUAACAAGUGUUGGGUAAGCUACUUAAAAAAAAAUAAAAAUAGGGCCCAGGAUCUUGUGGAACGCCCCUGUUUAUACGCAACAAAGACAACAAAACGUUAUUAACAAAGCCAUUAUUAACUAACCCUAACCCACUAUUUCAAGACAAGGUGUACAAAUAACAGGUUGUUUUUUUUUUAUCCUUUUGUCUAAGUUACACACUUACGUUAUAACAAGUGUUGGGUAAGCUAACUUAAAAAAAAUAAAAUAGGGGCCCAGGGAUCUUGUGGAACGCCCCUGUUUAUACUAUCGGGUAGAUUUAGGACAGGUGUAGUGCAGAUUUACACCUAUUUUAAAACGUCAAGGCUAUUAAAGUUAUAGUGCCACUCAACAGACAUUUUAAGUCUGCAGUGAUGUACAAAACCAACAUCACAUAAAAUGCACCAUAUAUACGUUCAUCUGUUCACUCAGUGGAAAUUUCACAUUGAAUAUGUCACGAAAUGUACAUGGCAGUAUGUAUUUCUCAUCUUGCAAAAAAGUUCCCACAGGUACGUUUUCGGCAUGAGAUCAGGUUGGAUAUUUGGCCUGUAAUUGUUUUUUUUUUUUUCAUUCUGUUGUAUUGUAUAGAAUGUAUAGAAUUCAGAUGAAAGUCACUGACAUCAUCUAAGGGUUCUGUUAAAAUAUAUCAGCUGAUCUGCUGGAUGAGGUUUGUCAUUUUAGUGUAGAGUACAGAUAUGUAGAUGCUAAUUUCUUGUUUUGAACAGAGAGCACAAGACUCAUGAAAUGGAAAAUUUGUCUUUAUCUGAUAAUGGUGAAUCAAAGAGACAGAAAUGACUCUGCCAAAUAGGCCACAUCCUGCACUCUGACUGCUCUUUUAGAAGAAAAAUCGAACAGGCUGAGCAAAGUCUCAACAAGCAAAGGUAUUUGGUUUUCUGUCACCAGUUACUUACAGGAUACUUUCAGGAUUUUGAUACAACUAUGUAAAGGUUGUUUGUUAUGCAUAUAUAUGCAUAAAUGUAUUGCUCAUUUCUUGUGUCUCCUGUUUGUUGAGGGGUUAUUUCAUAUAUGUGCAGCAGCAGUAUUUCUUACAUGCUGACAGCUGCAUGUCGGUGGUGGAUGUAUUGGGAGUAGCAAUUCUCAGUACCUUCUCUGCUGCAGAAGCAGCAAUGUAGCAGAUCAAUGUAGCCAAGACCAAACUCAUUAACAUCGUCAUGUACAUUACCAUGCUAAACUCUCUGAGAGUUGUCAUGACAGAACUGAUUUGAAUGAUGUCAUUCAACAGAUCCACUAACAUCUUUUCUUUGUCUGUUCUGAACUUCAUAGUCUCUCUGUAUUAAACAAAAUAUGAACUGAACUUGAACUUUUUGAAAACCUUGUUUUAAUGGGUAUAUUUUUAAAAAUGGUCAUGCCUCUACCUGAUGCAAUCAUUUAUCUUUUUGUUUGAACUUCAUAUCCAAUUAUUAAACUUGCAUUGCAUACAUUUUUAGUGUAUUUUCCCUGUGUAUGUGUUUGAAUCAGUUGAUGUUGUUUUACUGAACCCUGUUACACUGAUGAUUGAACUGAUACUGAAAACAGGUGAGUGUGAGUUUUCUUUUUUUUUAAAUAAUCACAACAGUGUAUUUUAUUCCAUAUUCCAAGUGUACAUAUGUACUUUAAACAUGUAUUAAUAACACAUUGUUUUAAUUUUGAGUGACUGAAUAUAGAAAUACUUUGCAUGUCACAAUGAAGCAGAAAUCACCCUCUCAGCUAAUUUUAAUCAAAAUAUUAUAAGCUGAAUUUAUCUUUACUAAAAUAGUCAUGACUGCAUUAAUUUGUCCAAAUAGUGCUAAUAAUUUUUAACACAAAUAAAUGCCUCCACUCUUCUUUUUCAGAGAAUGGUGCUGGUACAGUGGGAGAUUGGUUGUUUCCUGAAUGUUUAUUUGCUGUAUCUGUGCUGAUUUCAGGCUUCAUGGAAAAAAGUUAUUGCUCAUUUAUUUUUAGUUAUUUUUUAAGUAAAUUUAACUUAACUAAAAUUAACUAAGAGAAUAAGUCAAUUUAACUUGGCCAGAUAAAUUUGAAUUUUCCUUUUGAUAUUGUGGUAACAGAUUUGACACUUUAUAAAAUAACUCUUGGUGUAAGAACUUUUUAGAUUAAAAUAUUUUCUUACUGAGAACACAUAGACUUUUCAGUGCUUCAGAUCUUAACAGUGAGGGUAGUGACAUCAUUUCCUGUAUAUUAUAUAGUUGUGGGAGAUAAGUUCACUGAUUAAGAGGCAAAGUAUGGUAACAGAGUUGACGCAAGAUUUACGGGCACACAUUUUUACAAGAAAAAAGUUAUUAUUAUUGGGGUUUUUUUUAAUAAUGUUGUAGAAUUAGGUAAAUGACUAUUUAGUGUUUUUAUAAAUAAAAUGAAUGAAAUAUUACCAAAAGAAAAGUACAAUAAAAUAUUUUUUAUUAAACAAUAAUACGUGAUGGAAAAAUGCACUGACUAAUACGGAUAACAAGAAAUCAUGAUUUUCAGCAAUUUAAGACAAUUUUUGCAAAAAAAUAUUAUAUUGUUAUGGGCUGUAACAUCUUGUAAUUCAUAACAAUGAGUAACACAGUAUUAAAAUAAUUAAAAAUAUAACCAUUUGAAAAAGGCAGAAAAAAUAAAAUAAUGACACCAAAUGUACCUGCAAUUAUAGAAUCACUCAUAUACAAUAGUAUUACAUGUGAAGCCUUGAAAUAAUGUGAAAAACGGUAUGCAAAAUAAAUAUGACUUCACUUUCACUAAAAAUCUUUGGUCACGUCAAAUGGUUGAGGAAUGUAGCCUCAGGGCCACAGCUGGCCAAAUGGGUGUCCUAAGCAGGAUUGUAUUGUUGUGCCCUUGGCUAUGACUUUAUUAAUAGUUGUCUAAUUUAUUUUGUAGUCUCAAGCAUUCAGAAAUCAUGCAAAAGAAAAUUAAGUUAAGUUUUACUAUAAAACCAUGGUUUAUUUGUUAAGGGUUGUGAUGUCCACAUGUUUUUUGUUAUAUAAAAUAUAAAAAAUGUAUAAGGUGUGCAUUCCUCCUCAAAUGCUAUUGAGAUUUAACAUUCCAAAACAUUCGAAAAAGUAGCAGAAUUUACAUAUGAUUUACAGUUUAUUUUAAUAAAUAUCAAUGUAAAAGGUGU